rnacentral:rRNA from 1 species
CCUACGGGUGGCAGCAGUGGGGAAUAUUGGGCAAUGGGCGCAAGCCUGACCCAGCAACGCCGCGUGAAGGAAGAAGGCUUUCGGGUUGUAAACUUCUUUUCUUAGGGACGAAGAAAGUUACGGUACCUGAGGAAUAAGCCACGGCUAACUACGUGCCAGCAGCCGCGGUAAUACGUAGGUGGCAAGCGUUAUCCGGAUUUACUGGGUGUAAAGGGCGUGUAGGCGGGACUGGAAGUCAGAUGUGAAAACCACGGGCUCAACCUGUGGCCUGCAUUUGAAACUGUAGUUCUUGAGUACUGUAGAGGCAGGCGGAAUUCGUGGUGUAGCGGUGAAAUGCGUAGAGAUGAGGAGGAACAACGGAGGCGAAGGCAGUCUGCUGGACAGCAACUGACGCUGAGGCGCGAAAGCGUGGGGAGCAAACAGGAUUAGAUACCCUGGUAGUC